rnacentral:ncRNA from 1 species
UAAAGGCUUGGUCCUGACUUUAUUAUCAGCUAUAACCCAACUUAUACAUGCAAGUAUCCGCGCCCCCGUGAGAAUGCCCCAAAACUUCCACCCGAAGACGAGGAGCAGGUAUCAGGCACAAACUAUUAGCCCAAGACACCUUGCUAUGCCACUCCCCCAAGGGUACCCAGCAGUAAUUAACAUUAAGCAAUAAGUGAAAACUUGACUUAGUUAAGGUUAAAAGGGCCGGUAAAACUCGUGCCAGCCACCGCGGUUAUACGAGAGACCCUAGUUGAUAAUUACGGCGUAAAGAGUGGUUAAGGAACUGCACAAUUAAAGCCAAACACUUCCCCGGCUGUUAUACGCUCCCGGAAAUAACGAAGCCCAAACGCGAAAGCAGCUUUAUGUCAUAAGCCUGACCCCACGAAAGCUAAGAUACAAACUGGGAUUAGAUACCCCACUAUGCCUAGCCAUAAACUUAAAUGAAAUUAUACUAAACUCAUUCGCCAGAGUACUACAAGCGAAAGCUUAAAACUCAAAGGACUUGGCGGUGUUUCAGACCCACCUAGAGGAGCCUGUUCUAGAACCGAUAAUACUCGUUUAACCUCACCACUUCUUGUUUCCCCAGCCUAUAUACCGCCGUCGUCAGCUUACCCUGUGAAGGCCAAAAAGUAAGCAAAAUGGGCACAACCCAAAACGUCAGGCCGAGGUGUAGCGCACGAAGUGGGAAGAAAUGGGCUACAUUUUCUAAUAAUAGAAUACUACGCACGACGCACUGAAACGUGCAUCUUAAAGGUGGAUUUAGUAGUAAAAAGCAAAUAGAGUGUCCUUUUGAAUCUGGCUCUGAAACGCGCACACACCGCCCGUCACCCUCCCCUCUCCAAAACUAUUCAAUUACUUAAACAACUAAAAACUAUGCCGGGGAGGCAAGUCGUAACAUGGUAAGUGUACCGGAAGGUGCACUUGGAACUCUUUAAAC